UUAUCUCAUUGUUAUCGCUUUCUGUUUUCAAAUGUUGCUCCUUUUUUUAAGACGAUAAUGACUCAUUAGUAUUUUUUUCCAUGUUGGUUGAGGGGGUGUGAUAGACUGACAAGACCCAUGGAGUGAAAAAAAAAUUACAACCGUCCCAGUUCAGAAAUCUAUUGUUCAGAAACACUACUGAUCCAGAAAUUCCUUGGACAGAUCUCAGUGUCAUUAAUAACAUUUCAGAACGGUGCUUGGGAACACAUGGGAGAUACAGUCAUUGGGCUAUGGCUGUCACUGGAUAUUGGAAUCACAAGGAGGCCAUUCAGCCUUACAAACCUAGCCUGCCCUCCACUUAGAUCAUGACUGUCUAUAUGGUAACUCUAUCGAUGUGCUUUAUCUCCAUAAUGCUGACUUGAUAUUGUUCUUAAUUUAAAAUUUCCAAUUGAGCCCCAGUCUCAGCUCGUUUUUGAGGGAGAAAGUCCAGAUUUUCACAACCCUUUGCAUGAAGAAGUGUACCCUGACCUCUAACGCUCCCUCCAAUUUGAGGAAUGCUUCCAUCAUUGCCUUCUGCUGCAUAGGGCCUAACCUCUGGGAUUCUCUCCCUGAAUCUUUCUACAUUGCUUUCAGUCACCUCUCCUGUAUGUCCUUUCAUGGCUCAGUGUUAAUUCCUGUUUGAUGACAUGGUGUGAAGUAGCACGCAAUGUUUUUCGAUAUUUGUCAUUGUUGAUGUGGGUUCAGUUCCCAUACCUGAAACCUGAGAUGAAAGUCUAGGCUGACACUCUAAACCUAGCACUGAGAAAGUGCUGCACUGUUAAUAGUAGCAUCUUCCAGACAAGAGUUAAACCAAAACCAUGUGUGUUAUCUUGUGUGCAUGUAAAGAUCCCAUAGCAGUCCUUUGAGGACGAGCAAGAUUAUUCUCAGUUUCCUGUGGAGAAGGACCUCUAUCAACAAUGGUAAAGCAAAUCAACAACUUAUUCUCCAGUUACAAGAUCAAUUUUUCAAAGUUGGAGGCUAUACCUAUGGGGGAUCUGAGGAGAAUACCUGGUGUGGAAGGUGAACAUUUUGGAAGUUGAAUGGCUGGUUUAAUUCUUUUAUUUGGCAAUAUAAGUGGCCUCUUACUAAGCUUGCAAAACUGCAAUUGCCCCAGAGAUUGAGGGGAGUGGACCUCCCGGACAUUAGAAGGUAUCAACUGAGCUCCCUCCUAUCAUUUGUAAAUGGGUGGGCCUGUGGGGACUCGGCAUCAACAUGGUUGGAAAUUGAGGCCUCCCAGAUGAAGUGUCCUCUAUCAACCUGUUGUUUUUAGACAAAAUGAGAACCAUUGAGGAACAUUGCCGCAAUCUAAUAGUUACUAACACUGUAAAAGCUUGGAGGGCAAUGAGGCAGAUGGAGGGUAAUGUGUCGAAAACAUCUUUUCUAACUCCCGUAGUUGGCAUGCCGGGUUUCUGGUCAGGGACAAUGGAUCCCAGGUUUAAGUCCUGGGCGGAUAGGGGUGUCUCUUGAGGGGUGAUCUGUUUGAGGGUGAAAUGUUGAUGUCAUUUAAUCAAAUAACUCAGAAAUAUGGAUUGUCAAGUCGAGACAUCUUCUGUUUCUUUCAGAUUAGGGAAUUUAUCCGAAAGGAGACCACACUCUUGACUGAAGGUUACCGAUCUGAUAUAGAAAAGUGGGUGUUUCAGGCUAAGAGCACUCGUUCAGUGAGUCCUCUCUAUCAUUUGUUGGGGAGAGGUUCCUUAGGUGACAUUGAGCAUCUACAUGAGGGCUGGGAGAGAGAGUUAGAAGUUGGGAUCACUUCGGAAACAUGGGAGGACAUUGGUGAGAAUGCCAGGCGGAUUUCGAUAUGUAAUAGGACCCAUGCUGUGCAGUUAAAAAUUCUUCCUAGGGCUCAUCUGGCUCCAAAUUGUCUUGCAACAUUUAAGCAGGGAGCAUCUUCAAUGUGCUCAAAUUGUAAAAUAAAUAUAGGUAUUCUCACAAAUUGUCUAUGGACCUGUCACAGGCUCUGUGCGUAUUAGAGCGCUGUGGCAGGAGUAAUAGUGAGGGUCUUGGGGACCGAAGUCAAGGUGGACCUGGUCUCUUUGCUCCUGGGUCUGCCGAACUUACCUCACUUCGAUGUACAUGGGGAAAGAGCUUUUUAACAUUCUCACUUUUUUUGCGAGGAACAACAUUCUGAUGUGCUGGGCAUCUGAGACCGCCCCCCCACCCCCCCACCCUGGGUCUGUCGGGUGGCAUAAGUUAAUUAUGGAACACAUUCCUUUUGACCAGAAAACAGACAACUUUUACAAGACAUGGCAGCCCUUUUUUAAUUAUUUGGAAGCAGAUCUGUCUGCCAUUUAGAUUAGGGCUUUUAUCUAGCCACGAUGGUUUGGUCUGAUAAAACUAAUGCCAUGAGAGGGAGAACUUCGAACAAAUGUCAGUUUAAUGAUUGAUGCUCUCGAAGGUUGAGAGCUACGGUCUUGUAUGCUGAAUAGUGUUAUUUAUUUAUUGAUUUGUAAUAAGUAUUGUUUUGAUUUCUCUUGCAGAGUAGUAUAGUCGUUUGUUUAUUGUUUAUUGUUGU